rfam:Thermoanaerobacter pseudethanolicus ATCC 33223, complete genome.
GACAAUUGAAUAAAAAGCACUCAUAUAAUCUCGAGAAUAUGGCUCGAGAGUCUCUACCGAACAACCGUAAAUUGUUCGACUAUGAGUGAAAGUGUACCUAGG